rnacentral:rRNA from 1 species
UACGUAGGGGGCAAGCGUUGUCCGGAUUUACUGGGCGUAAAGAGCGUGUAGGCGGCCGCGCAGGUCCGUUGUGAAAACUGGAGGCUCAACCUUCAAGACGUCGACGGAAACCGUGUGGCUAGAGUCCGGAAGAGGAGAGUGGAAUUCCUGGUGUAGCGGUGAAAUGCGCAGAUAUCAGGAAGAACACCAAUGGUGAAGGCAGCUCUCUGGGACGGUACUGACGCUGAGACGCGAAAGCGUGGGGAGCGAACAGG